CAUUACGGUCUUCUUAGUGAGUUUUGGACUAUUCAAUGACUAUGGACUGUUACUGCCCCCUUGAGGAAAUACGGAGUAAGCUAGAGUGUGAUGAAAGUGCGUCAUAAGAAUUGUCAGUUGUUGCUACGAAUCCAUAGAGUGCGGAGCACAGGAGAGUUGUCCUCAUUUCUUAAAGAGUGGUGUUGUUUAAUUGUGUGCGUGCAUCUAAAAAACCACACAAACACCUACAGGUUUGCAUAUGCUAAUGCAAAUAAAUAUUCUGUGAAGCAAGAAGCAUCUUCGUUGCGUUUUGACCAGACGUACCACAGUGAUUAAUUCAACCCGAACCACAUUAAAAAAAGAUUGAAAGACCCCCGAAUUGACCGUGCUGUUGGUGUAUGCAAGAAAAUUGUGAGUGCCUUUUCAUACUCUUGGAAAAGAAGAAAGGAGUUGAAGAAAGCCCAGGCAGAGCACCAUCUUCCCUUUCAUCGGCUCAUCACAUCACAGAAACUUUCUAAAAGGCACUACAUUUAGUUUAUUUAUCUGCAACAUUGUGUUGUUUAAUUACAGUUUUGCUUUUGCACAAUAAAUGUUCUCAAAACGA